ACAGAAAAUUGUGAAAAAUGUCGAACAGAGUUUUCCAAAGCCCAAGAUGACGUCCUCAAAUGUCUUGUUUGUCCACAACUCAAAGAUAUUACCUUUACGGUCACAGAGGAAUGAAGACACUAGAACAUAUUCACAUUUAAAAAGCUGGAAUCAGAGAAUGUUUACUUUUUUUAAAUAAAAAAUGACUCAAACCGAUUAAUCCCUUAUCAAAACAGUUGGUGAUCAAUUUAGCAGUUGACAACUAAUCAAUUCAUCUUUGCAGCUCU